rnacentral:rRNA from 1 species
CGGUGAAUACGUUCCCGGACCUUGCACACACCGCCCGUCAAGCCAUGGAAGCCGGGUGUACCUAAAGUCGAUAACCGCUAAGGAGUCGCCUAGGGUAAACUGGUAACUGGGCU